CUCUCCACCUGUGUAUGAGUUUCUGCUCCUGUUUCACUUCUCUUUCUUGGAUUUCCGUCUCCAGUUCCCUCUGAUUUCUGCAGACUGUGUAUCGUCAGUGUGAUGUCUCUCUGCCGGAACACUCACCCAGGGCGCCGAGGAUAGCAGCUGACCAGAACACCUCCCCACACAGCGCCGGCAGGAACAGAAGACCACCCAUGCGCUCCCCAAACUUGUCCUGCAGCGGGUCCAGCAUCGUCACGUAACCUUGGGAGCGCAUCUUGUUAGCGAAGAGGACGCCACCUGUGAGAGAGAAAUAUUAACUGGAUAAAAGAUAUAGAAAAACACUGAGAAACCAGCGUAGUAAGAGCGGAUGCCAAAGUUUAUCCCAUGCCUUGUACUGAACUGAUCUGUGCCGGCAGGAAUUGAGGGAAGAUCAACGAGAAGAUGAAGAUGGAGGGAUGGAAUAGAAGUGGAAUUGUAAAGGGAGUCACGGAGGCAGAUGCAAAGGACAGCAAUAAUUGGAGACAAAUGGUGAAAUGGAAAGGCUUCUUCUUCGCCGCCCAGAUCCCGACAGCGAGGAUGAGAAGGUAGAAGAUGACGAUGGCGAUGAUUCCUCCCACGUUGAUCGUCAUGGUGGCUGAGUGAAGAAUGACCAGAGGGGUGAGGCAUGCACUGACUGACCCCCAAAUCCUUUCACACCGUUAAGCACACAAGUAACCAAGCACGCUAGCCCAUUGACAAAACUUCUGUUCCUUCUCAAGGCACUUCCACCACCACAACCUGGAGACACCAAGAACUCUCGGGAGGUUGUGUAAGGUCACACAAUCUGCGGUAUGUAGCAAGAGAGAGAGAGAGACGGAGUUACUACUGUCUCCCUUGUGUGUUCUCUCCCUGAUGGGUUCAAGUUGAGGUCCAACCCACCCAUUGUCAGUCUGCUACAAGUCAGGUUUCCCACUGAGAGCAGACACAUCAUGUAGCAAGAGAGAGAGAGAGAGACUGAGUUACUACUGUCUCCCUUGUGUGUUCUCUCCCUGAUGGGUUCAAGUUGAGGUCCAACCCACCCCAUUGUCAGUCUGCUACAAGUCAGGUUUCCCACUGAGAGCAGACACAUCACAUCAAUCCUUGCACAACCAAAUUAAUUAAUCUGAAAUUACUUCUCAGGUGACUGCAUCUCUCUUCAUUGACCAAACAUUACAGAUUUUUACAGCUGGAGAAAUCAUCAGAAACAAAAUGAAUGUGACAACGAUUUGCUUGACAAAACAAAUCAUUGCAUUUUAGCAGUUAGUAAUAAUAUUAUUACUCUCUUGCUGCAAUGCAAUGUUUUAUGUGUCAAGAUGCAACACAUAAAGAAGGUUCACAUUCUGAAGCUUAUUCAGGUUGUGAAAACCUGCUUUGUCACAUAUCAUCACCACUGAAGGAGAGACAUCAAUCAGAUGACAAAUAUUUUUACUCAGUUGCAGUGGAAGGUUUAGUGUGUCUACUCUCUCAGGAAAGGCCACAUGACUGCAAAGCAGCUGUGACCCCUGAGUGGAUGGGGUGAAUAUUAACCAUGACCAUCAACCUGAAGCCCAAAACUUGUUCCUCAACAUUCCUAAAACAAGCUGCAAUGAUGGUCCAUCUUGACACUCUCCUCUUCCUGUCCACUUAAGAACUUCAAUGGGAAGACAUAUAGCACCAGUCUUCACAUAUCUGUGGAAAGAAAACCUACUUAGAUUCACCAAUCAAUAAAGUUCUAAAGAUAAUAUUCCUUUACAUCUAUCUAUUAGGAAUUGUCUAAAAGCUCCAAUUAAAGAAUGAGAAGUCAGAAAGUUGCUAGAAUGGUUAUAAUGACAGCAGAAUCAGUGCCAGAUGGUGAAUGUUUAGGCAGAAUUGGUGCCAGGUAAGAUGGCCUUGAAAUAGAUAAAAGAUCUGGAGUUAGCCACUGGAGACUAGAUGAACCUUCUUCCCAACUUUUAGCAAUUUCCUUCAGCCAAGCAGAAGAAUCUAAACAGGUUGAAAGCUGAAUGUAGGGUUAGAGGAAUGAAAGAUAGUAGAGAAAUGACCACUGUAAAUUCUUGAUAACAAAAUAAAGCUGUUUACACUGG
rnacentral:lncRNA from 1 species